CCAAUAGCGUAUAUUAAAGUUGUUGCAGUUAAAAAGCUCGUAGUUGAACUUCGGGGUUCCCCCAUUGGUCAGGCUUAACUGUCUGUACUGGUGGGAGGGAUUCUUACCUUCUGAGGAAUCUCUAUGCCAUUAAUUUGGUGUGGUGGGGAAUCAGGACUAUUACUUUGAAAAAAUUAGAGUGUUUAAAGCAGGCUAACGUCUGAAUCCAUUAGCAUGGAAUAAUGAAAUAGGACGGCUUGGUUCUAUUUUGUUGGUUUCUAGGAUCACCGUAAUGAUUAAUAGGGAUAGUUGGGGGCAUUAGUAUUCAAUUGUCAGAGGUGAAAUUCUUGGAUUUAUUGAAGACUAACUACUGCGAAAGCAUUUUGCCAAGGAUGUUUUCAUUAAUCAAGAACGAAAGUUAGGGGAUCGAAGACGAUCAGAUACCGUCGUAGUCUUAACCAUAAACUAUGCCGACUAGGGAUCGGACGAAGUUAAUUUUUAAAUGACUCGUUCGGCACCUUACG
rnacentral:rRNA from 1 species